CCUACGGGUGGCAGCAGUGAGGAAUAUUGGUCAAUGGCCGGAAGGCUGAACCAGCCAUGCCGCGUGAAGGGCAGGGCCCUAUGGGCGUUAAACUUCUUGUGUGCGGGAGCAAGAAUGGUCACGUGUGGCCAGACGAGAGUACCGUACGAAGAAGCAGCGGCGAACUCCGUGCCAGCAGCCGCGGUAAUACGGGGGAUGCAAGCGUUAUCCGGAGUGAGUGGGGUUCAAGGGGGCGUAGGCUGUGAGGUAAGUCAGCGGUGAAAUGCCCCCGCUCAACGGGGUGAAGUGCCAUUGAUACUGCCUUGCUGGCCUGCGGCUGCCGUGGGAGGAAUGUGUGGUGUAGCGGUG
rnacentral:rRNA from 1 species